CCGAACGGGAGUGCGCGCUGAUGUCCCGGCUCUGACUUCAACUGGCACGGCUCCAAUUACCACUUGGACAGACUUUGCACCGUCAUGAAUUUAUACUUACGUAAAGUUAUACUUACCGAUCAACAAGUAUUUAAAUCAGCAUUUGCCUCGAAGGACCAUGCACAGCAGCCAUGAAAUCAAGAAAGAAAAGAACAGGCACAUUGACCCCCAAAUCCCUCCUACCAGAAGAAAGAAUAUACAUUUGCUCAGUCAUAUGGCCCACCAUGUUCAUGCAGACCACCAAGUCGCUAGCCAUACCAACCCCAUCGACAAGCACUCAGUACGUCGCCUUGAACCUGGAUUGCAACCAACCGCUGAAUGAAAAGAUACUUCCAUAGAUCCUUUCUAAAGUAUUCCCACAUACUCUAAACAUAUAACAGGACAGCACAGUAUCAUAGGAGUUACUGUAAUUCUUUACAGUGCCAGAAAUUGACUGGGGUUCAACUUCCACCACUGUCUGUAAAGGAUUUGACCAUGUGGGUCCUCCUGAUGCUCGAACUUUCUCCCACAUUCCAAAGAUGCACGAGUUGGGGUUAGUAAUGUUAUGGUCUGGUCUGGAGCCUGCAUUCCGGGUCUUGAUCUGGUCCGCAGACUCCGGACUCCGGGUCUUGUAGCCAUCCCUCCUUUCACCCUUAAGCCCAAGUAGGAUCAUCUUGGCUUAAGGAGGUGUCUGGUUUGCCUUAUUUGAGCCAUUUGCCUGGCUGUCCUGUUUUGACCCUGGCUUGGAGUACCCACAGUUAAUCAUCUAGUCUGUAAGUCUGUUCUUAUAGUCACCCUGGACUGAGCUCCCUUCUGAUCCCUUGCCUCUGUUGGGUAAGUAGGCUGGACUGCUGUUGCCUGGUGGGGGGACUGUGACCCUUUCCUACCCCUCUCUUCUGACAGGUGGUGCCCUGCAACCAGCCCAGGUGCUCUGUGUUCCUGCCUGGGAGGCAACCCUGCCCAGGAGCUAUGUGGCCUUCCCUGAGGCCUCUGACCCUUUCCUACCCUUUGCUUCUGAUGGGUGGUGCCCUGCAUCCUGCCCACGUGCUUUGUGUCUUGCCCAGGCCCCUGUGUUCCUGCCUGGGAGUCCGGGCCCUGCUCAGAAGCUAUGUGGCCUGCCUGGGGGCUAUCCUCCCAACAUUCCUUGUCCCAUAGAUCUAGCCUUUGCCAUGAACUCCAGGGUCUGGCCUUUGCCAGGAACUCUCUGAACUCCAGGAUCACGGUUGCAUGCCACAGUCUCCCCACCUUGUUCUAUCCUUUAGUUGUUCCUGUCCUGCCCCUAGUACUUCAGUGCCUGUGUCCUGCAUUUGGGUCCAGUCUCCAUGUCCUCCUUGUGACAAGUAAGUUGUGGGCAUGUUAUGUUGGUGGUGAAGCAUAGCCGCAUUUGAGGACUGUGUUGGUCGUUGACACAAAUAAUGAAUUUCACUGUAUAUUUCAUUGUUUCAACAUACACAUGACAAGUAAAGCUAAUAUAAUCUAAGUAUGCCCUCCAAUUUUAGAAAUUUCUAUUAUGGGAAAAAGUUUCUGUGGUGAACUACAUAUACCUGUCUGGUCGCCCCCCCCGCUGACUGCUCCUGUGGCUCCUCCCACAGACCCCGGUAUAAAGGCGAUUGGAGGCACAGCCCCUCCCUCAGUCUCCAGGCUGUUGUGUGGUGCUUGCUUGCUGCUUGUGCUUUCUCCCAGCCAA